CAUAGGGUAAGAAAUCAAGCUUUGAACUAGUCAAAUUGUAAUCUUAAUUUGAACCAUUUCAAUAUUCAUUUAAACGAAGUACUUUUCAGGCAAAUAUUGUCCCGAAAAAGAUGUUAAACAGCUUUCCGUAAUAUAACCUGAUAACAUGGACUUCAAAAGCAUUGAAAAAAGCGUUUUUGUCAUGGAAAACAGGCAAUUGAAAAAUCACUGUGAUUUCACCCAUUUCCCCCAACAGAAAGCACAUUUUCGGUGCACUCGUACAGCUCAUGCAUUGUAUCACACGCAAUAUGUGAACACGUCAAAUGAAAGCUUAUUUAUCGUAGAAUCGACCAUCCGAAUAAUAUUUCGCAUUAUUUAUCAUAAAAUUAUCAAAUUUAAGUGAUUCUUACUUGGAGAAUGUUAUCUUAAAUUGAACCAUUUGUAAUCUAAAUUUGAACUAGUAAACGGGGGUGAGCUUCUAGUGUUGGCCUGUAGAUUGCGCUAGUGGUUGCUUUGUUUACUCUUGGAGGAUGAAAAAUUCCAAAUUUAGUUUCCAAAUUCCUAAAGAAUUUCGAACAUUCUGAGUUGAGAUUCCACUGCCUAAUGAAAAAUAGGUAUGAGAAUUAGCAGAUUCAUGUGAUUUUUAAUUGUUUAGCAUGGAAUUGGCUGUUUUGUGAGUUGCUCGAGCUGCUGCCGCCAGUAGUUCAAAUUAAGAUUAAAAUUGGUUCAAAUUAUGAUUACGAUGGUUCAAAUUAAGAUUAAAAUCAUUGUUGAUGAAAAAUCGAAUAUUUCAAUGAAAUUCGGUGCAAAUACAAACUUUUUACCAUUUAACAGAAAGCUUAUACCCGUGGCUUUCAUGUACAUACGAUUUUGCCGUAGUAAAUUAUUUCCAUGUGGGAGAAAAAAUCACUUAAAAUUUGCACUGCUUCAGAA